rnacentral:lncRNA from 1 species
UUAAGAUUAAAUUCAUCUCGACAAGUUCAGUAAUAUGUGACUGAGAGAAAAAUAUUUUUUUUUCAGUGAAUUUAGAAAAGUUGAUUGAUUAAAUUUUUUUCAUAAAUGUCAUAUAUAGUCGACCGGAAUGGCCAUUUGGAAACGCUUCGGCUUUCCACUUUGAACGACUGGAGUUCGAGUGUCGGAUCCCACCUCUUGAAAAUAUUUAUCAUGGGGUCCAGGCCCAGCCCGUCUAUCCCCGUUCUCCAUUUGACCUCUCCGCAGGCGUGGGCAGCCUGUGGAAGGAAUUGUUUCGUCCCUUCACUUAGUAAUCUUAUUGAAUGGAAAGUGGUAUCAUCGUCGGCCGGAUUGGCAGCAUGGAAACGCUUCGGC